AACGUAGGUGGCGAGCGUUAUCCGGAAUUACUGGGCGUAAAGCGUGUGCAGGCGGGCUGUCAAGUGGUGUAUGAAAGCUCCCGGCUCAACCGGGAAGGGUUAUGCCAGACUGACAGUCUUGAGUGCGAGAGAGGAGCGUGGAAUUCCUAGUGUAGAGGUGAAAUUCGUAGAUAUUAGGAAGAACACCAGUGGCGAAGGCGGCUCACUGGCCCGGUACUGACGCUGAGGCGCGAAAGCGUGGGGAGCAAACAGG
rnacentral:rRNA from 1 species